UUCGUAGGCGGUUCGUCGCGUCCGGUGUGAAAGUCCAUCGCUUAACGGUGGAUCCGCGCCGGGUACGGGCGGGCUUGAGUGCGGUAGGGGAGACUGGAAUUCCCGGUGUAACGGUGGAAUGUGUAGAUAUCGGGAAGAACACCAAUGGCGAAGGCAGGUCUCUGGGCCGUCACUGACGCUGAGGAGCGAAAGCGUGGGGAGCGAACA
rnacentral:rRNA from 1 species